rnacentral:rRNA from 1 species
GAUGAACGCUGGCGGCGUGCCUAAUACAUGCAAGUCGAGCGAGGCGGGGAGGGGUGAGUAUAACGUGGAUAACCUCCUAUAAGACGGGGAUAAAUUAGGGAAACCGGAGGUUAAACGGAAUCUGAACGCUGGAGCUGCGUUGCAUUAGCUAGGUGGUAAGGUAACGGCUUACCAGGGCAACGAUGCAUAGCGGACCUGAGAGGGUGAUCGGCCACACUGGAACUGAGACACGGCCCAGACUCCUACGGGAGGCAGCAGUAGGGAAUCUUCCACAAUGGGCGAAAGCCUGACGGAGCAAUGCCGCGUGAGUGAUGAAGGUCUUAGGAUCGUAAAGUUCUGUUAUUAGGGAAGCGGUACCCAAUCAGAAAGCCACGGCUAACUACGUGCCAGCAGCCGCGGUAAUUC